UGCCAUGAAUUUUCCACGGAACAAGGUGUGCUCUAAAUGCAAGAGAGUCCGUAUGCCAGUUGAGAAUGGCAGCGUUGACCCAGCGUAAACUCAUUGAUUUCAGGAAGGUUUACAGGUGAAGUCCUGUUUUUGUGUCUUAGCUCCACCAAACUUGCUUGUUUCUGAAGAAGCUGAACCUGUGACAUUAGAAGAUCUGCCAAAGCCACAAGAAGUAACACCUCAAUUCUGAUGGACCCACACCUCACUGAGACCCCAACUGGCUGCAGUCAAGAAGAGUGAAAGGAAGUCAGGGAAGAAGAGAUCAUUUGACACUCAUUAGGGGGAAAAGGGAGAACAAAAUUGUUUUUGUAGAGUUGAAUUUUUUCAUUGGUAUGGGAAUUAACUUAGAAAAGUUUGGGGAGUUGUAGUGUUAAAUUCUAUAGAUGGUAGCAACUUUGAUGAAUUUCACUUAAUUCAUUAAAUGAGAAGUUUAGGGAAAGAGUUUAGGGGGUUGUAGUGUUAAAUUCUAUAGCUGAUAGCAACUUUA
rnacentral:lncRNA from 1 species